UGCAGAAAUAUCCUUCAAUGAAUCAACUUUUUGGGUGCAGAUCUUUGGAUUGCCUCCAAACAACAUGACCCUUCUGAAUUCAAAAACUAUUGGAGAAUUUGGUUUUCAUAGAUGUGGAUUUCUCUCAAGAAGGAAUUAGAGGGCUGCCACAUAUGCUCAGAAUCAAGGCUCUUAUUAGGAUUGAUAAGCCUUUAAUACUAGGAUUCCAUAGUAAGAAGUCGGAUGGAAUGGUCUAAUGGAUCCAUUUCAAGUGAGAGAAUGCCAGAUGUAUGCUUUAAAUGUGGUUCACUUGGUCAUAUGAGUAGGAUGUGUCAAAAUGAGGAAAUUCAGCUACCAACAGAAAGGGGAAAGAGAACGGGAUACGGGACCUGGCUGAGAGCAACUUCUCCCCAACGAAA
rnacentral:misc_RNA from 1 species